CUAACAAGGAUUCCCCUAGUAACGGCGAGUGAAGCGGGAAGAGCUCAAAUUUGUAAUCUGGCGGCCCUUGGUCGUCCGAGUUGUAGUCUGGAGAAGCGUUUUCCGUGCCGGACCGUGUACAAGUCCCUUGGAACAGGGCGUCACAGAGGGUGAGAAUCCCGUCUUUGACACGGACUGCCGGUGCYUUGCGAUGCGCUCUCGAAGAGUCGAGUUGUUUGGGAAUGCAGCUCAAAACGGGUGGUAAAUUCCAUCUAAAGCUAAAUAUAGGCGAAAGACCGAUAGCGAACAAGUACCGUGAGGGAAAGAUGAAAAGCACUUUGGAAAGAGAGUUAAACAGUACGUGAAAUUGUUGAAAGGGAAACGCUUGAAGUCAGUCGCGUCUCCCGGGAUUCAGCCUCGCUUUUGCUUGGCGUACUUCCCGGGGCGACGGGCCAGCAUCGAUUUCGAUCGUCGGAGAAGGGCCUUGGGAACGUGGCACCUUCGGGUGUGUUAUAGCCCGGGGUCGCAUGCGACGAUUGGGAUCGAGGAUCGCAGCACGCCUUUGAUUGGCCGGGGUUCGCCCACGUAACGUGCUUAGGAUGCUGGCGUAAUGGCUUUAAGCGACCCGUCUUGA
rnacentral:rRNA from 1 species